UGUUCUUUUCUUUUCCACAGCUGCCUUUUGAUUUUACAUGGAAAAUGCUGAAAGAUAAAUUUAAUGAAUGUGGGCACGUCCUCUACGCCGACAUCAAGAUGGAGAACGGGAAGUCCAAGGGCUGUGGGGUGGUGAGGUUUGAGUCCCCGGAGGUGGCGGAACGCGCCUGCCGGAUGAUGAACGGGAUCCAGCUCCGGGGCCGCGAGAUCGACGUGCGGAUCGACCGCAACGCCUGAGCCUCCUCCUCCUCCUCCUCCCCCUCCUCCUCUCCCUCCUUUUUAUCUCUUUAACACAAAACCAGGGCUUGUUAUUUUUAUUUCCCGAUUUUUAUUUUGGGUUUUUUUUUUUCUCUCUCUCUCUCUCUUUUCUCCUCGUUAACUGUAUGAGUUUUGACUGGAUGUUAAAGGUGUUCAGAAAAAAACAACAACAACAACAAAAAAAAAAACCAACAAAAAAAACCACCCAGUUGCUUUCUGGAGUAAAAUUUUAAGUCCUUUUUUUAAACGGGUGAAAUGAGCAUUUUACCGGGUUUUUUGCAUCGGAAUCUGCAACGUGGCACAAUCUUUUUUUGUAGUUGUGGCAUCUCGUUGACAUGACAGAUGUAAACAGUCUGAAUUUGAUAAUAAAGCAAGCGAAAUAUUGCA